rnacentral:piRNA from 1 species
UGGUGAAGAAUCGUGGAAAAGGUGGAGC